GCCGAACGCUGGCGGCGCGCUUAACACAUGCAAGUCGAACGGAAAGGCUCUGCUUCUGUGGGGUGCUCGAGUGGCGAACGGGUGCGUAACACGUGAGUAACCUGCCCUUGAUUUUGGGAUAACUUCAGGAACCUGGUGCUAAUUCCGGAUAGCAGCCCCUGCUGCAUGGUGGGGGUUGGAAAGUUUCGGCGGCUGGGGAUGGACUCGCGGCUUAUCAGCUUGUUGGUGGGGUAGUGGCUUACCAAGGCUUUGACGGGUAGCUGGCCUGAGAGGGUGACGGGCCACAUUGGGACAGAGACACGGCACAGACUCCUACGGGAGGCAGCAGUUGGGGAUAUUGAACAAGGGGCGGAAACCUGAUGCUGCAUGGCCGCGUGCGGGAUGACGGCCUUCGGGUUGUAAACCGCGUUCGCCUGUGACGAAGCGUGAGUGACGGUAAUGGGUAAAGAAGCACGGGCUAACUACGUG
rnacentral:rRNA from 1 species